AUUGAACGCUGGCGGCAUGCCUUACACAUGCAAGUCGAACGGCAGCGGGCCUCGGUGCGGCGAGUGGCGAACGGGUAGAGUAAUGCAUCGGAACGUAGCCAUUGAGGUGGGGAGUAACGUAGCGAAAGUUGCGCUAAUACCGCAUAUUCUGUGAGCAGGAAAGCAGGGGACCGCAAGGCCUUGCGCUCUUUGAGCGGCCGAUGUCAGAUUAGCUAGUUGGUGAGGUAACGGCUUACCAAGGCGACGAUCUGUAGCGGGUCUGAGAGGAUGAUCCGCCACACUGGAACUGAGACACGGUCCAGACUCCUACGGGAGGCAGCAGUGGGGAAUUUUGGACAAUGGGCGCAAGCCUGAUCCAGCCAUGCCGCGUGAGUGAAGAA
rnacentral:rRNA from 1 species